AUUAGUACUCAUUAACAUACAUAAUUAGUAGAAUUAUAUAAAUGUGCAAUCAUUCACUAUAUCAUCCUAAACAAUAACUGUGUGCAUUCAAAAUAUGCCGCAUGGGCCAAACGAGAUGUGGCGAAAAUGAAACGUCAACAAAGUCAGCGAAAUACAACUGUCAUCGAACAGCAACGACUUCCGCCAAACCUCCUUCGUUUUGUGCUCUCGAUCGCCGCCAGAAAAAUCACACAGCAGGUGUUAAAAGUGGCUGCUGUGCCGCCUACAGCGAUUUGGUGCUAAAAAAGUGCAGGUGAAGAUUUCUACACCAAACGAAAGAUCAAUAAUUUUGACAUCCACUGCACGUGCACGGCACAAAGAAAAUUGCACCAAAUUCCUCGCUUACGAGAAGCGAAGUCGUUUUCCACGAUACGGAUCGGCAAGAUAGAACACAAAGUGUUAGGCAAUUCGCUUGUCAACCACCUUCCCCUCGCCAUUCGCACGAAUAAAGGCUUUCGAGAAGCAAAGUCGUAUUCCUCUGAAACGACGAGGCAGACCAGAAAAGAAUACGGAGCGCAACGAUACGUAGCACGAUCGUCAAUCUCCUUCCCGUCACCACUCGCACAGCAAAAGGCCUCCAGAAGGAGGCCUUUUUUUUCUUUUACGAAUUCUAGCUUCUGGAAAGGUGCACGGCCGAGGUGGCACGAACAGGACGAAUAGUGAGAGGUUUCCGGGAGACGGCAACGGGAAUUUGCAUCGAGCGGGAUCGGACUCCAAGGCCGAUGCGGCACAAGCACGACGUUCCUGAGAAGAACGAGAUCCGAGUCGACGCGAGUGGGAGAAAGGAUCUUCAUUCCCAUAUCCGGCGAGAACGAGAUCGCCUGGAGGCACGGCAACUGCGCCGCAGGAGCCAGCAAAAGCGCAUCGAUAUUGGUGAUCCCAACCAGCAGAGCAGCUGGCGCGUCGCUACCGAAAUAGGGAGCUAUUUGGAGUCAAGACCUUGUACGCAAUCAAGCCGGGGUUCCCAAUCCCCUCGUCACGCGGUGUAGUUGGAGAGCGCAGGUAGGAGGUACGAUGCAGUUGCUGACGAUCCGGCGAACGUGAGUGCUAGCUUUAAGAAAGUGAAGAGAAGAAGAUGAAAGAAGGCAGGGAAUGCAAAGUGCUUAGGAGCGUAGGGUGACCAGGAUGUAAUGGUAUGAUGUUGGAGAAAAUAUAAGAUGAUUGCACACUAAAGUA